AACGCGAAGAACCUUACCUGGGCUCGAAAUGUUGUGGACCGGGGUAGAAAUAUCCCUUCCCCGCAAGGGGCCGCAAUAUAGGUGCUGCAUGGCUGUCGUCAGCUCGUGUCGUGAGAUGUUGGGUUAAGUCCCGCAACGAGCGCAACCCUUAUCUUCAGUUGCUACCAUUUAGUUGAGCACUCUGACGAAACCGCCUCGGAUAACGGGGAGGAAGGUGGGGAUGACGUCAAGUCCUCAUGGCCUUUAUGUCCAGGGCUACACACGUGCUACAAUGGCCGGUACAAACCGUCGCAAACCCGCGAGGGGGAGCUAAUCGGAAAAAGCCGUCCUCAGUUCGGAUCGCAGUCUGCAACUCGACUGCGUGAAGCUGGAAUCGCUAGUAAUCGCGGAUCAGAACGCCGCGGUGAAUACGUUCCCGGGCCUUGUA
rnacentral:rRNA from 1 species